UACGAAGGGGCUAGCGUUGCUCGGAAUCACUGGGCGUAAAGCGCACGUAGGCGGCUUCUAAGUCAGGGGUGAAAUCCUGGAGCUCAACUCCAGAACUGCCUUUGAUACUGGAGAGCUAGAGUCCGGAAGAGGUGAGUGGAACUGCGAGUGUAGAGGUGAAAUUCGUAGAUAUUCGCAAGAACACCAGUGGCGAAGGCAGCUCGCUGGAACGGUACUGACGCUGAGGCGCGAAAGCGUGGGGAGCGAACGA
rnacentral:rRNA from 1 species